rnacentral:rRNA from 1 species
AGUGAACGCUGGCGGUAGGCCUAACACAUGCAAGUCGAACGGCAGCACAGUAAGAGCUUGCUCUUACGGGUGGCGAGUGGCGGACGGGUGAGGAAUACAUCGGAAUCUACUUUUUCGUGGGGGAUAACGUAGGGAAACUUACGCUAAUACCGCAUACGACCUACGGGUGAAAGCAGGGGAUCUUCGGACCUUGCGCGAUUGAAUGAGCCGAUGUCGGAUUAGCUAGUUGGCGGGGUAAAGGCCCACCAAGGCGACGAUCCGUAGCUGGUCUGAGAGGAUGAUCAGCCACACUUGAACUGAGACACGGUCCAGACUCCUACGGGAAGCAGCAGUGGGGAAUAUUGGACAAUGGGCGCAAGCCUGAUCCAGCCAUACCGCGUGGGUGAAGGAGGCCUUCGGGUUGUAAAGCCCUUUUGUUGGGAAAGAAAAGCAGCAGGUUAAUACCCCGCUGUUCUGACGGUACCCAAAGAAUAAGCACCGGCUAACUUCGUG